GAUUUCAACUGAAUAAGUCAUCAACAACAAAGCUGUAUAACUCAUCAAGAUCUAUAACUUUUAUUUUGGUCAUUUCUUCAUCCGACAAAAUGAUAGUAACAUUGUUCACAAAGUUCACAUAUCUCUCAUUUGGUUUUAUAAACUAUAACACAGAUAUGUAAAAUUUGUGAAUAAUGUUAGUAACACUUUGUCGGAUGAAGAAAUGACAAGCAUAAAAUUUAUAGAUCUUGGUAAGUUAUACAACUUUGUUGUUGGUGACUUUUUUAGUUGAAAUC
rfam:Oryza nivara chromosome 2, whole genome shotgun sequence.